rnacentral:rRNA from 1 species
CCUACGGGAGGCAGCAGUGAGGAAUAUUGGUCAAUGGGCGGAAGCCUGAACCAGCCAAGUCGCGUGAGGGAUUAAGGCCCUGCGGGUCGUAAACCUCUUUUGCCGGGGAGCAGUGGUCCGGACGCGUCCGGACCGGGAGAGUACCCGGAGAAAAAGCAUCGGCUAACUCCGUGCCAGCAGCCGCGGUAAUACGGGGGGUGCAAGCGUUGUCCGGAAUCAUUGGGCGUAAAGAGUUCGUAGGUGGCACGUUAAGUCUGGUGUUAAAGGCGGAAGCUCAACUUCCGUAGGGCACUGGAUACUGGCGAGCUUGAAUGCGGUAGAGGUAAAGGGAAUUCCUGGUGUAGCGGUGAAAUGCGUAGAUAUCAGGAGGAACAUCGGUGGCGUAAGCGCUUUACUGGGCCGUAAUUGACACUGAGGAACGAAAGCCGGGGUAGCAAAUGGGAUGAGAUACCCGAGUAGUC